rnacentral:rRNA from 1 species
GGGCCCGCACAAGCAGUGGAGCAUGUGGUUUAAUUCGAAGAUACGCGCAGAACCUUACCAACACUUGACAUGUUCGUCGCGACUUUAAGAGAUUAAAGUUUUCGGUUCGGCCGGACGAAACACAGGUGCUGCAUGGCUGUCGUCAGCUCGUGUCGUGAGAUGUUGGGUUAAGUCCCGCAACGAGCGCAACCCUCACUUUUAGUUGCCAUCAUUUAGUUGGGCACUCUGAAAGAACUGCCAGUGAUAAGCUGGAGGAAGGUGGGGAUGACGUCAAGUCCUCAUGGCCCUUACGUGUUGGGCUACACACGUGCUACAAUGGUAUCUACAACAGGAAGCAAGACGGCGACGUCAAGCAAA